CCUACGGGUGGCAGCAGUGAGGAAUAUUGGGCAAUGGGCGCAAGCCUGAACCAGCCAAGCCGCGUGAAGGAUGACUGCCCUAUGGGUUGUAAACUUCUUUUAUAUGGGAAUAAAGUGCAGUAUGUAUAUUGCAUUGAAUGUACCUUAUGAAUAAGCAUCGGCUAACUCCGUGCCAGCAGCCGCGGGAAUACGGAGGGGUCGAGCGUUAUCCGGAUUUAUUGGGUUUAAAGGGAGCGUAGGCGGGAUGUUAAGUCAGUUGUGAAAGUUAGCGGCUCAACCGUAAAAUUGCAGUUGAUACUGGCAUCCUUGAGUACAGUAGAGGUAAGCGGAAUUCGUGGUGUAGCGGUGAAAUGCUUAGAUAUCACGAAGAACUCCGAUUGCGAAGGCAGCCUGCUGGACUGUAACUGACGCUGAUGCUCGAAAGUGUGGGUAUCAAACAGGAUUAGAUACCCUUGUAGUC
rnacentral:rRNA from 1 species